GGGUCCGCACAAGCGGUGGAGCAUGUGGUUUAAUUCGAUAAUACGCGAGGAACCUUACCUAGGCUAGAAUGCGAGUGAUAUCCAGAGAGAUCUGGAGUUCUUCGGACACAAAGCAAGGUGCUGCAUGGUUGUCGUCAGCUCGUGCCGUGAGGUGUUGGGUUAAGUCCCGCAACGAGCGCAACCCCUAUUUCUAGUUGCCAGCAAGUAAUGUUGGGGACUCUAGAAAGACUGCCUGCGUAAGCAGAGAGGAAGGAGGGGACGACGUCAAAUCAGCAUGGCCCUUAUGCCUAGGGCUACACACGUGCUACAAUGGCGUAUACAAAGGGUAGCGAACCAGCGAUGGUAAGCCAAUCUCUAAAAGUACGUCUCAGUUCGGAUUGAAGUCUGCAACUCGACUUCAUGAAGCUGGAAUCGCUAGUAAUCGUGUAU
rnacentral:rRNA from 1 species